rnacentral:rRNA from 1 species
UAGAGUUUGAUCCUGGCUCAGAAUGAACGCUGGCGGUAUGCUUAAUACAUGCAAGUCGAACGAAAUAUUUAGCACUUGUGUUAAAUAAUUUAGUGGCGAACGGGUGAGUAACACGUAAGAACUUACCCCUAGACGAGGUACAACAGUUGGAAACGACUGCUAAUACCUCAUAUUACCGGAAGGUGAAAGAAGCAAUUCGUCUAGGGCGAGGCUUGCGUCUGAUUAGCUUGUUGGUGAGGUAAAGGCUUACCAAGGCGACGAUCAGUAGUUGGUCUUAGAGGAUGAUCAGCCACAUUGGGACUGAGACACGGCCCAAACUUUUACGGGAGGCAGCAGUAAGGAAUUUUCCGCAAUGGGCGCAAGCCUGACGGAGCAAUACCGCGUGAAGGAUGACGGCCCAUGGGUUGUAAACUUCUUUUCUUGGAGAAGAAUUCUGACGGUAUCCAAGGAAUAAGCAUCGGCUAACUCCGUGCCAGCAGCCGCGGUAAGACGGGGGAUGCAAGCGUUAUUCGGAAUUAUUGGGCGUAAAGCGUCUGUAGGUGGUAAGGAAAGUGUAAUGUUAAAGAUCAGGGCUCAACCCUGGGAAAGCAUUGCAAACUAUCUUACUUGAGUUCGGUAGGGGCAGAGAGAAUUCCCAGUGUAGCGGUGAAAUGCGUAGAUAUUGGGAGGAGGACCGGUGGCGAAGGCGUUCUGCUGGGCCGUAACUGACAC